rnacentral:tRNA from 1 species
GCCAUUGUAACUCAGUCGGUAGAGUGCCAUCUUCGUAAGAUGGAAGUCCCCAGUUCGAUUCUGGGCAAUGGCU